GGAAUCCUCCACUACAUAGCAUUAUUUGCAGAGUACUAAAUGUCUUCCUCUAAAGUGAAGCCAUCAAACCUACUUUCUUGGAGGUUUCACCUAUAAUUGUAUAUAUUUGUGAUCUCAGGUGCUUCGACAAAGCUGCAAUAAAAGAUGUCAACGCAAGUGCUCAUUCAAGCCCACCAUGCACAGUGACUCAAGUGGAAGGGGCCAAGCUUGUUCUUGGGAUGAUACUGAUAUGGUUAGUGACCUUAAUUCCAAGCAUCAUAUGGGCACAAAUUAACACUCUUUUUGUCAAACAAGGC
rnacentral:misc_RNA from 1 species